UGGGGGAUAUUGCACAAUGGGCGAAAGCCUGAUGCAGCGACGCCGCGUGGGGGAUGAAGGCCUUCGGGUUGUAAACUUCUUUUGCUCUGAACAAGGCGCACCAUGGGGUGUGUUGAGUGUAGGGGUUGAUUAGCGCCGGCUAACUACGUGCCAGCAGCCGCGGUAAUACGUAGGGCGCGAGCGUUGUCCGGAAUGAUUGGGCGUAAAGGGCUUGUAGGUGGCUGGUUGCGUCUGUCGUGAAAGCUCAUGGCUUAACUGUGGGUUUGCGGUGGGUACGGGCUGGCUUGAGUGCAGUAGGGGAGGCUGGAAUUCCUGGUGUAGCGGUGGAAUGCGCAGAUAUCAGGAGGAAUACCGGUGGCGAAGGCGGGUCUCUGGGCUGUUACUGACACUGAGGAGCGAAAGCAUGGGGAGCGAACAGG
rnacentral:rRNA from 1 species